rnacentral:lncRNA from 1 species
ACAGUCAGGUCUGGCUCUGCCUGGUGGCACAAAUGCUUCACUGAGGGAGCAUCAGGUUGAUGAGGACAAUGGUCCUGAUGGUCCUUGUAGGUGUUGGAUGCUCUCCUGUUCCUGUUCUGGCCGUUCAGCUUGAGCACCCAAAGCGGCUGCAAGCUCCUGGAGACUUGGAAGAAGCAAGAUUAAAGCAAUUAUUGGAAAAUCUUAAGAUCAGGUUUCCAGUCUUUAAAUGCUUUGGACUGAAGUAUGGCACUGAGCUCUCAGCAAACAGAUGGUUUGACCUUCCUCCUGCCUGUCAUGUCGGAGCGGCUUGGGCUGCGAGUCGAUACCAGAAGAAGUUUCAAAAUUAAGACCUUCAGGACUGUGUUGGGAAAUCAAACCUCUCCAAGGAACUGGCAAACAUCACGGAUACAGCGACUGAUGCUGCCGCGGACCCGUCCGACGGAGGGUCUGUCCUCCCCAGUUAAACCCAUUUCAUAUAUUUCAUAUAUUUCAUAUAUUAUCUCUGUGAAAUAUUUGCCACGUUCUCCGUGUUUUUUAACAAGUGCAUUAUGUGGAAGGGGACAUCUUUGCAGGUGGAAGUUGCUCUUCAAACCAUGUGCAAUAUAACGAGACUGAACAAAGCCAGGGAGGAGGAGGAGGAGAGGAGGUGGAAAGCAUUUGGACGUUAUUUCAGUCUUUUUUUUUUUUUUUCUGUAUUUAAAAAAAAAUAUCUCUUGAAAGAUUAAGCAACCAGAAAGGAAACGUUAACCAGAGCUGCUAAUAAGCGGUCCAAAACAAGUGUUCUGCUCGGGGUGGGAGGGAGAUGGGGGAAAUUUGGUUGCUCUCGCUGUUCCCUGUCGAAGGACACGGGCUGUUUUCGGCAUUGGGAUGUGAAUAAUUUCUGUUCCCUUUUGCUGACUUUCCUGUAAACGCUCUUUCUAAGUAGGGAUGUGCUGCACCAAAGGCUGUGAUUUAUUUUAAGUCCUUAUUAAGAAAGUAACGUCUCUGCCGAUGCUGAGGGAAACGGUGUCCGACAGACAACAAGUUGUGCCUUGCUUUCAGGAUCACUCCAUGAAAAACUAAGGAAAAAAAAAUAAAUCAAAUUUCCAGGGGUGGAAAAGGUGUAAA